GUUUCCUCUGAAGGCUGUUAGUAACAAUGUUCUUCCUUAAAUUAAUUUUGUGAUUGUAAUGGGUGCUGCAAAUGCGUUUGCACAUUGCAAUAUGAUGAGAUGAAUUGUUGUUAAAAACUAUAGCAAAAAGAAAUGAAAACUUGGUUAAAAUCCUUUCACUCUUUGUAUUUUUUUUUAAGAUUUUUAUUCCUUAAAUGUAAAAUGACUACCUAAUUUUUUGACGUAAACUCAUUAAAUUCAAAGAUGGAAAAAUCAGUUGAUGUAGCAGUGUUUUUUUUCCCUUGAUGGUUAACUAUGGAUCUGAUAUUUAUGUUUCUGAAUUGAUUGUAGUGGACAGAUAAGCAGUAAGUAUAUCUUAACAUGUCUCUCAACAUAAAAGUAUUACUAAUUAUAAAAAUUAGACAUAUUAUAUUUUAACAUGCCUCCCAGAAUAAGUUUUGCUAUUUUUUAAAAAAAUGUGUUUUUGGUCCCAAAUUGCAAGGAAUAGACUUUCGAAGAGUUUUCUAGUCCAGAGAUACUAAGUAAUAUAUAAAAGUUUGAUAUUUUUAAAGAAUAGUUUAUAUUAUCACUAUUAGAUAGGGAUGGCGAGGAUAAUAUAUAAUUAUUUGAAGUUGUUUUGAAGUAGUUACAAGUAGUUGGAUAUGGUUAUGUCUGGUUAUGGUGUAAUUAUAGUAUUCAUACUAUCUCAAGCGAAAUAGUGCAUAUGAGAAUUUAAGCUUGAAUUUGUUCUAUUAAUUCUCAAAUUUGGCUUUCUGCUGGUGACAUUCCCCACCCCCACCCAAACCACUGACAAGUAGAUUCUAAUAUCUGGAUCUCUGGUGAGUUGAAGAAAGGACAAGCCGAGAAUCACUAGUUUAGAUGGGUAUCCAGAUCACCUAUCCUAGCCCUCUACUCAGAAAUAUUGCUAUUGUGUAGCUGAUAAUUGUUACAAAACACUGGCCUGUGAGUUAGGAUGGAAGAUAAGUUUAGCCUUACAGAGAAUCUUGAGGAGAGUCAGAGAGAGAAAUAGGAGCAGGUCCACUGAGAAGUAAUCAGGGAAGGGUAUUCUCACCCACUGAUGCAAGUGUCUGGUCUCUUUGGUAGUAAGUAACAAAUGGGGAGGCCAUUUCACUUUAUCUGUUUACAGGAAGGUAUUUAUUAGCCAAUUCUCUAUGUAUCUCUUAUGUUUCUGUAUGUCUUCUGAGCAGAGAUACUGACUGCCUUUUUUUCUGGAAUAUUUUUCAAGGGUAUUUGUAUAAUAGAGAAAAUAGAGAAGAUAUAAUGUCUCUCCAGAACAAAGGGCAGGUUUGCUUAGAGCCUUGAAAGAUCAAGGCUGUCUCCUUCUGAAGGGGCACUAUAAAAGAUUUGGGUUUCUUAUGCUCAGGCUUCCUCUCCUGUAAUGCACCCCUCUGCAUGUACAGGUAUCACCUGGCCAUCUUCACAUUGUCCUAUGGGAUGGGAGCUUGGGAACCAGAACAAAAAAAAUGAUACUUUGACCAUUUCUGUGAGUAAUUAAGUCCUUUGUGUCUUCUGCUAGCACCCACAGAACUGGGUCAGACUAACUUAUUGGCCUGCAAGGAAGGUAGAGUCUCAGACCCUUCACAGUUCUUGGCCAUUUUGGUGGUGAGGAUGUGGUGAAGAAGAGACAAGUCUUCAUGAAGAAGAAGCUCCUUGAAGAGGAAGGAUAAUGACCCCACAGGCCAGAUUCAGAGGGACACCAUGUGUGAUCUCUGGACUAUUUCUUGUGUGGAAGCCAGGAGUUAACUUGUCUCUCCUGAAAACACCCUUCCGGCAGUCCUAAGAGACCUGCAAGUGCUUAGAAGCACUACUGACAAAGCACAUGACCCUCAGAUGACUGCAGAAAUCUCUCCAAACUGAAGCUCUCCAGAAAAGAGAAUCGAGGUACAGAGAGUUGUUUGGCUGUGGGACCAGGAGCUGAAAGUACAGAGAGAGGACAGUCUGCAGAUACCACAAGGCCUCAAAGCCUUGAGUAAGCUGAAGUCAAGAGGUAGAGGAAAGAUGUGUUUCCUCAGAUACUACGACAGGUGACAGAUGUCCCAACUUCCUCAGGAGUGUUGGACCACCUCUAUGGGUUGUGCAAGGAAACUGUGGAACUGGUGUGGCCAGCAUUCACCCCUCAUGUGCUCCAGAGCUGGGAGAAUGAAGCAAGAAGGCAAUGAUGGAGGAGCUGGACUCCCACUGGUGGAGGAACUAAGGUGUUAACAGAUUCCUAGAUCAAAAUCUGUCAUAGAUGCGUGAAGAGAUGUAAGAAUGAGAAGGGAGACGCGUACAAGGAACCGACCUGCUGCCCAAAAGGAAGACGGGAAAGAGACGCACACGACGCGGGUGCUGUCAUGUCUGGAGAGGAUAUCUGGAAAUGCUGAAGCCAUCUUGCCAUCAGCCUGAGAAUGAAGCCAAUGACUGAGAAUGGCAGAACAGAAAAACGAUCAUGCUGUGGAAUCACCUGCCCUAAAGAGAAAACCACAGCCAUCCAGACCUAAGGAGGUGGAGGAGAAGGAAGGUCAUGAUUUCUUUUAUUUCUUACACUCUGUCUAAUGGGAUUGGCUUAAAAGUAGAAGGAUCAAAAAGCAUGUUUUUGUUUUAGCCAAAACAAUAUUAAAUACAAGGGUUUUUCCCUUUAACUAGACUAGUUGUUUAAGUGAGUUACCUGACGGUUGUUCGAUCAUUAUCAAGAUUUGGGAUUAACAGGCACACAUACUGCUGUAUGUAAACUAAAUAAACAACAAGGACUGCCUCUACAGCACAGGGAACUCUACUGACUAUCUUGUAAUAACCUAUAAUAGAAAGGAAUCUGAAAAAGAACAGACAUAAAUAUGUAGAUGUAUAACUGAAUCACUUUGUUGUACACCUGAAACGUAAAUCAACUAUACUUCAGUUAAAAAAAAAAUGAGGAUGUAACAUAAUUGAAGCUGCUUAUCAAAGACUCAAUAGCUAAAUGUUUUGGUUGAACUACCUUCACAUCCAUUAUCACUUUAACAAUGGAAUAAAUUUUCCUGGUAGAAAGUAGGCAGAUACAGAGUCCCAACAUUCAUUUCACUUCAGAAGUACCUAGUAGGGGAUGAAGGAAACACUAGUGUAAAGGAAAAGACCGGAAACAGGGAUGGGACCUAGGGCAUGUGUAUUGCCAUUUCCCCCUUUUGAGUCCCAAGGUGAUCACCACCUGUCAAUCGUGGCAUUCUUACACCCACCUGGAUCUGGUUCAGAAACCUCAACACAGUGCUUUGGGAGGCCACUACCAGUCAAAUGAGACUGGUCCUGGAGAUGAAAUGCAUUUGCAACAUCUGACUUAGAAGGAAUAUAAACUCAGAAAAAAUAAUCUGGAAAUACACAUUCAUUCUCAGAGUUUAUCAAUGUCUGUGAAACCUAGGGGAAAGACCCCAUUUGGUUUUUCCCACCUAGUUGGCUCUUUGACACCACUGGUGGCUCCAGUCUCAGGAUACCUUAUCAAAAUAUUAAAGGUGAAGCCAAAGUCACCCUGUCCCCAUUUUUAUGGAUCAGGAGACUGCAUCAGACUUGCACCAUGUCAAGCUCAGAACCAGGCUUCCUGCUCCUGUAUUUAUCCUCCAUCUCAUGCCACCCAGCCACUGACAACGUGCUGGGCUUACCACAUACCGAACCAGAUCUCUGUUGUCUUGAUUACGUCACCCAUGUGUUUGCAUUUAGACUUGUAUGGAUUAUUAGAUGAAAUAGUACUGUGUGAAAAUGAUUCACUGGUAAACUAGCAAUUUGGUUAGUUUGUAGAAUUCUAAUCACAGCUUACUUCAGAGGUUAACUUAACAAUCAAAAAAUACAUGACCUAAUUGCUGAUUUUUGAACAUAGUCAAUGUAGCAUCUGCUUCUAAGGAUAAAUGCAAAUCUAAUAUGGGUAGAAAGAAGUUGAACCAGAUUUCAUGAUGAAUAAUACCAGUUUUUAUAGAUUGAAAAUAUCAAAGCUGAUUAAGUGAUCUAUGACAGUUUCCUAGCGUUUCAGCAUUUCCUGUGCUUAUUUAAAUUCCUAGCUAAAAAGGAAGAUUCGCUAGUGUUUUCUAAGAAUUCAGAAAGGUACUAUGUAAGUUUCUUUCCAGGACCUACAGAGGAGGCAGAGCACAGACCUACUCUCCUCAGCUUCCCUUCACUAAGGAAAUGUUCCUGGCCUCGCCAUUGGCUUCUUCCCUUUCUACCAGGUCAUAAUGAUGAUCUUUAAGUCCAACCAUCUUGCCGCAAAUGACAGAACUUAAUCUUAAUGGCUGCACGUAACUGUUACAGAGGCUGGGAAAUGUAGUCUUAACUAGGCUGUAUGCCCAGCUAAACCUCACAAAAUUUACUCCUGAAGGAAGAAGACAAGGGUGAAUUUGGAUGGAUCUCAACCGUCGAGAGGAAACUGUACCAUCACAUUCAGCCAUGUGGCAAACACAGCCUGCAAAGGUGUAUUAACAUCACCUGUUUAUGAAGCAUCUGGUAGGUCCAUGUCUCUGAACGAGGAUGCAGCACAGGAGGGAAAAGAUGUGGUUCUUGUCCUUGAGGACUCCUGGGUCAAAGAGGGUUCCAGUGCCAGAGGGCCCCUAAAAUUGUGUCAGCUUCAGACUCAAUAAAACCUGGAUAUACUCCUGGCCCCAGCACACGAAGAGGAGUCACACCCCGUCAGUGACAGAGGUUCUCACUGCGGUGAUGGGAGGAAGAGGAGGAGGAUGUGGAGGGAGAUAGGUGUGGGUGGGGAUGGCUCAGAAUUGAGAGGGUGAAAAAGUUGCACAGGUGUCUACUAUAUAUAAAAUAGAUGAACAGCAAGGACCUACUGUAUAGCACAGGGAGCUAUAUUAACAUCUUUUAAUAACCUAUCCUGGAAAAGGAUCUCAAAGGAAUAUAAAUAUAUGCAAAACUGAAUCACUUUGCUAUAGACCUGAAACUAACACAACAUUGUAAAUCAACUCAACUUCAAUGAAAACAAAAGUUGCAAGGUGAUUUGAUGUGCUGCACGCCUUUGAGAUUGCGACUCUGCAUUCAACGGGGAGUCCCCAGUGCUACACAGCCUCUCCCACACCCCAGCUUCUCCUUAAAGCUCCAGAACCACUCGCGCUGUCAGAUGAAGACUGACCUCUGCAGCUUAAGUCCGGUGGCCUCCAUCCAUUUCAUCGACCUCCCUGCCUCUGUCAGCCUAGUUACCUCAGCCCUGGGGGUGCCCCUAAGAUUUUGCUGGGACCAGCCAUCCUAACUCCAGGGUUGUUUCCUCUCCCUGGCUCUUCUGACUGCUGACUUGAAACACGGCUAGUAUUCACCUCAUCUUUGAUGAGGAGAUGGCAGUCUACCCCCCCCCCAAAUGAAUGAAUAAAAAUAGCUAAAAGCGUUCUGUAAAGCUGUCUUUCUCGUUAUGAAUAUUAUUUUGUGGCGUCUCUCAGGCUCUGUCUUCCUCUGAGCUGCCUUCAGACUUAUAAAACGAAAGCACCUUCAGGCAGUCCCCACAGCGAAGAUUCAACUCUACAAUGCUUUGAGGAAAGCAGUUUAUUUUUUUAAAAAUCGAACUGAACCUUAAAUACAGGUAUACUGAGGGUGAAGCAAAAGAGAUAUGGUAGAAACCAGCUGCUUUCAGUCCAUCAGGGAAAUUGCGCCAUCAUCCACACAGCUCCACUCCAUUUCCCUUCCCAGUAGGAGCCAACACUCAGAAGGAAGCAGACGCAGACCCAAGGCCGACUCAGAGCUCUCAAGUUAGAGAACAGGGGCCAUGCUGUGUGAGCCACACGGUGAAGACGCAGGCCUGCCUUAUGUCAAGUCUCAGCUCUUGAGCAGGGAAAGGCCCACAGGGAGGCAGGUGCAUCGUCAAAGCCCCAGAAGACUCGAGCCUGUCAUAAGGACCACAGAAGGGGUGCCAGAAUUCAGCCUUAGCUUCCCAGGGAUCUCACCAACCUGUCACCCGGAGAAACUAGCGAAUGACAGCAGCCUCCACAAUGUGUGGGUCACACGGCACUUUCAAGAUGUCUGGGGACUAAGUAGGGAACCAAAAUGCCAGAGGUUCCUGCAAAGGCAGCCUUCCUUCAUUGAUCAAGAGUAGGCAGGAUUGGAUACUGGGCAGGAGUAGUACAUCAGAGACUUCUCAAGAUGACUCAUUGGACGGGAAGUCUCAAAAGGCAUCUUUUUCUACUGUGAAAUGGUGGACGCGGUGUGGAAAGAUGAGAGUCCUUUCAGGAGAAGAACAGCCUUGUGUUGUAGCUGCAGAAGGGCUGGCUCUUUAGGAGAUGUGAUGCUGACCCCAAGCCCCAGCGUCUUCCCCUCUACAAACUCCAAGGCCUCUACCUGGUCUCUGCUGGACCCUUCCUCCCCCUCAUUCUCCACACAGCUGCCAAAGCUGGCUUUUGGAAAAGGAGCAUGAAACCACGCUCCCUCCACAGCUGAGAAUUCUCCAGCAGCUCUCGAUAGCAUUCUUUGAACAAAAAUAAGUAAGUAAAACCCAGGGAUCAGCAAACAUUUUCUGUAAUGGGCCACAUAGCAUUUCAGGCUUUGUCCAACUCUGAGUCUGCUGUGCUGUUGUACCGCCAAGGCGGGCUGUGCUGGGGUGAGGCAGGCCAAUUGUCUCCUGAAACAGAGUUAAAGGAGACUGUCACCCUCCAGGCUGUGAAAGCAGCCACCAAAACACACAAGGCGGCCCCAGGCUGCAGGCACCAAGUUCUCCUGUCAGAGCCCUUGUAUUUGCUCUUCCCUCUUCUUGAAAUCCUCUUUCCUCAGAUUUUUGCAUAGAUGGCUCCACGUGCUAGGUGACUCAGGACACAGAUUAAAAGUAUAUUUGGAGGAUCAGCAAAGAAAGAGCUCUAAAAAUAAGAAAAUACUUUGGAACGAAUUUGAUUGUAGAUAUUUCCCCGAAAGUAGUUCCUAUGGGGGUGGGGGUGGUGAAAGCAGAACUUGGUUGACGUCCUUUGUAUUGAUUUUAAGAUGUGGUUGGCUUUUUCGAUUUUCAGUUGCCUGGGGGGUGGGAAGGAGGGAGGCCCUCAUCAUCCUGCCGUGUGUAAGGCCUCUUAAAGUCUCACCGUGGCCCCUUUUGGUCACCGUGUCCGCCAGUCACGUGCUGUCUUCUCAGGGAAGGUUUCUCCAGCCGAUGACGUGGUGGUACACCUUCACCACCUGUUAUGUUGCGCUGUUGUGUUUGCUCAAGGCAAUUAAUCACUCUGCAAUUAUUGUGCUUCUUUAUGUGCUUCCUUGUUGACUAUCUCCCUUUCACAUGGAGGCCUCAGAAGCCCAGGAAUUCUGUCUGUCUUGUUUACCUCUGCAUCCCGCACCUAGUACAGUGUCUGGCAUGUGGAAGACAUGCAAGAAAAUAUCUGUUGACUGACUCAGUGAGUGAAUGCCCAGCUGAAUGAUGGAAGAAUGCAAGUGCUCAAAGUGUUUGAAGAAUGAGGUCUGGUCCUAAGUGAAAUUCUCUGCUGGUCCUUCGUAGAGCCUUAAAAGUGACUCAAAACCCAGCUGGCUAACUGAAUCUGCAUUCGCUAGUGGACUGAAAUCGAUUUAGGCAAAGCACAUUUGUCAACAGAAGAAUUUGGACCAAAUGAGAUUUGGUAGAACAUUUUGCUGCUGCAUCAUGAGAACGUUUUUUGGUUCUUCAUCUUUUCACAGUUUGGUCUCUUUUUCCAAAAUGUUUACUUUUUUCUUUCUACUGUUUAGAUUUUAGUUAACUUUUAGCUUUUUCUCUAGGGAAACAUAACUUAAACCUCAAACAGUAAAAAACUUGAUUGAAAAAGCAGAUUUCCUUGAGUUCUAUGCAUGAGUAUAGAAACAGUUAAAUAGGCAGUGCACUCAUUCAGUGUGUAGUGUACGUCUGAUUUGUGUCAGGCACCGUUCUGGGUAUUGGAAUUACUAUCGUGAACACAUUCCUAUUUUGUCAGGUGAUAAGGGAGGCCUUUUUGAAGAAAUAACAUGGAGGAAGUGAUAAGAAGCUGCCCUUAUGAAGGGUAGGAAAAAAAGUGUAUUCCAAGGUGAAGAUAACACAUAUGCAGCAUGACUGAGGUAGGAAAGAGCUUGGCUUGUUUCAAGAACUGAAAAAAAAAAUUGUGGUGUGGCUGGAUCACAAUGGGUGAAGCAGACAAGGCACAAUGACAAGGCACUGGGGCUUCCUGGGC